GAUGAACGCUAGCGGGAGGCCUAACACAUGCAAGCCGAGCGGUAUUGUUUCUUCGGAAAUGAGAGAGCGGCGUACGGGUGCGGAACACGUGUGCAACCUGCCUUUAUCUGGGGGAUAGCCUUUCGAAAGGAAGAUUAAUACUCCAUAAUAUAUUGAACGGCAUCGUUUAAUAUUGAAAGCUCCGGCGGAUAGAGAUGGGCGCGCGCAAGAUUAGCUAGUUGGUGAGGUAACGGCUCACCAAGGCGAUGAUCUUUAGGGGGCCUGAGAGGGUGAUCCCCCACACUGGUACUGAGACACGGACCAGACUCCUACGGGAGGCAGCAGUGAGGAAUAUUGGUCAAUGGGUGCAAGCCUGAACCAGCCAUCCCGCGUGAAGGACGACUGCCCUAUGGGUUGUAAACUUCUUUUGUAUAGGGAUAAACCUACCCUCGUGAGGGUAGCUGAAGGUACUAUACGAAUAAGCACCGGCUAACUCCGUGCCAGCAGCCGCGGUAAUACGGAGGGUGCAAGCGUUAUCCGGAUUUAUUGGGUUUAAAGGGUCCGUAGGCGGACUUAUAAGUCAGUGGUGAAAGCCUGUCGCUUAACGAUAGAACUGCCAUUGAUACUGUAAGUCUUGAGUAUAUUUGAGGUAGCUGGAAUAAGUAGUGUAGCGGUGAAAUGCAUAGAUAUUACUUAGAACACCAAUUGCGAAGGCAGGUUACCAAGAUAUAACUGACGCUGAGGGACGAAAGCGUGGGGAGCGAACAGGAUUAGAUACCCUGGUAGUCCACGCCGUAAACGAUGCUAACUCGUUUUUGGGCUUUAGGGUUCAGAGACCAAGCGAAAGUGAUAAGUUAGCCACCUGGGGAGUACGCUCGCAAGAGUGAGACUCAAAGGAAUUGACGGGGGCCCGCACAAGCGGUGGAUUAUGUGGUUUAAUUCGAUGAUACGCGAGGAACCUUACCAAGACUUAAAUGGGAAUUGACAGCUUUAGAAAUAGAGCUUUCUUCGGACAAUUUUCAAGGUGCUGCAUGGUUGUCGUCAGCUCGUGCCGUGAGGUGUUAGGUUAAGUCCUGCAACGAGCGCAACCCCUGUCACUAGUUGCCAUCAUUCAGUUGGGGACUCUAGUGAGACUGCCUACGCAAGUAGAGAGGAAGGUGGGGAUGACGUCAAAUCAUCACGGCCCUUACGUCUUGGGCCACACACGUAAUACAAUGGCCGGUACAGAGGGCAGCUACACAGCGAUGUGAUGCAAAUCUCGAAAGCCGGUCUCAGUUCGGAUUGGAGUCUGCAACUCGACUCUAUGAAGCUGGAAUCGCUAGUAAUCGCGCAUCAGCCAUGGCGCGGUGAAUACGUUCCCGGGCCU
rnacentral:rRNA from 1 species